rnacentral:rRNA from 1 species
UACGAAGGGGGCUAGCGUUGCUCGGAAUGACUGGGCGUAAAGGGCGCGUAGGCGGAUGGCACAGUCAGAUGUGAAAUUCCCGGGCUUAACCUGGGGGCUGCAUUUGAUACGUGUUGUCUUGAGUUCGGAAGAGGGUCGUGGAAUUCCCAGUGUAGAGGUGAAAUUCGUAGAUAUUGGGAAGAACACCGGUGGCGAAGGCGGCGACCUGGUCCGACACUGACGCUGAGGUGCGAAAGCGUGGGGAGCAAACAGG